UACGAAGGGGGCUAGCGUUGCUCGGAAUCACUGGGCGUAAAGCGCACGUAGGCGGCGUCUUAAGUCAGGGGUGAAAUCCUGGAGCUCAACUCCAGAACUGCCUUUGAUAUUGAGAUGCUUGAGUCCGGAAGAGGCGAGUGGAAUUCCCGGUGUAGCGGUGAAAUGCGCAGAUAUCGGGAGGAACACCAAUGGCGAAGGCAGCUCGCUGGGACGGUACUGACGCUGAGACGCGAAAGCGUGGGGAGCAAACAGGG
rnacentral:rRNA from 1 species